rfam:Sphaerobolus stellatus SS14 unplaced genomic scaffold SPHSTscaffold_78, whole genome shotgun sequence.
GGUUUGGUAGUUUAGUUGGUGGAACGUCUGCUUAACAAUAAUGCGCAGAAGGUCGUCAGUUCGAGUCCGGCCCAGAUCA